rnacentral:misc_RNA from 1 species
CUGAGAAAAUUGAGGAACUUAAGGUAAUAAAUAUUUAUGAUACCGUUUUUAUCACUAUUGAGGGAUGCGGUGAUUUUGUAACUUAGACAUUGGAUCUUUGUUGGUGCACAUGGAUGCAAGGAAUUCUCUGGGUUCAAAAUCUCACUCUUUCUUUUCAUUUGUCUUUGCACACCUUCUUGUGUUUAUUUAUGUUCCUUGGCUAAUCCUUUCAUUGGCUUUGUAUUUACUCUAUGCUCCUACUCAUCCUGGGACCUUUAUGAAAUUUGAAUUUGAUCUGAAGAAUUCUCUCCCUCUUUCUUUUCAUAUCUUUUUGCGCACCUGCUCAUGUGUGUAUUUAUGUUCAUUGGCCUUGUAUUUAUCCUAUGCUCCUACAAAUCCUGGGACCUUUAUGAAUUUGAUCUGAAGAGCUUUUGG